GGUCAGCCUCCUAGGAUAGGACAUGGAACAAAGCAGACAUUGGAACAGGUGACUACCAAAUUUCCUUGGUGGAAACCAUUAGGUCACUCAGACACUUUGUGCAGGAUGGAUCCCCUAAACAUCUAUCUUAGUCCAUUUGUGCUGCUGUAUCAAAAUACUUUAGGCUUGGUAACUUAUAGACAACAGGAAUUCUUUUCUCAUUUUACAGGAAGCUGGGAAGUCCAAGAUAAAGUCCAAGAUCAAGUUUCCAACAGAUUCAGUGUUUGGUGAGAAUGUGUUUUUCAUAGAUGGCCUAAGAGUCAUCACCUGGUGAAAGAGAAUUCUAUAAGUGCAAGAAUCCUUAGGAUCCAGUCACUCCCCCCAAUAAAGUCUUAAUAUCAACACAUGGUGAACUAAAUUUGACCAUAUGAAUUUUGGAAGGACGCAAACAUUAAGCACUAAACAGGCUCUGGAGAAUGUGAAGCAGAUAAAUGUACUUAAUUUAUCACUACACAAGAAACAGCCAUGAGUCUCUCCUUUCAGUCUCUUCUGAAUUCAUGGGAAAGGUGCAGGAGAGGUACGUCUCCAGGAACCAGAAGCUCUGUCACUUAUUUAUAAUGUGUGGUUCCAUGUCCUUGUCACUCGGAGUCUUUCAGCUGAGCCACACAUUUACUUAAAGAGUGAGAAAAAGAGAGUAAGCACCACUAAGGAAAGUAGUUUGGACACAUAAAGGUAAGAAAAUUGGCACUUUUCAUCCUAAAACCUACUCAAACUAAUGCUAUAGACAGUGUAUAUUUAGUUAAACAGAAAAGCAUUGAUGGUGUCACCUCACAGCUGUCCCUACUGCCAUCACAGGAAGGGAGGCCCAGCCCAGAGGUAAAGGUCACUGGACUGACAUCUGUGGCUACACCCCAGGCCUUUUGGGUGGAGAAGGUCCCCCUCCACCUACACUGAGUCUAUUGGGGGCAAACCUUGGUUUUCCAGUCCCCUAGCAUUUCCCUGGGGAGGUAAAGAGCUACCUUGGAAGACAGGAGACAGUGGUGUCUUCCUGUGCAGACAGCAGGGCCUGAGGCCCAUCAGUGUUUGCUGUGGUCACCAGCGAUGGGUAAGACCUGCCUUUGCUGUCCUCUGGGAGCAAUUACUUUAUGUUUAUUGCAGACAUCCAUCACACCCAGGGAGGCUAUAUAAAUACAAUAUGUCACCUUUAACUGUUUGCUAAUUGAGCCGAUGCUGUGGGAUUUCCUGAUGAUCAGUUGACAUGAGAGAGAGAGAGAGAGAGGAGAGAGAGAGAGAGAGAGAGAGAGAGAGAGAGAGAGAGAGAGAGAGAGAGGAGAGAUCCAAGUAGGGACAUUGCCUAGGAGGGUUAGUUUUAGUUCCUGUCUCUAAAAUCAGGGUAGUCACCUCAAUAGGGAAAGUGAAUUGGCUAUGAAAUGAAAAGGGAAAAAUAAUUUCCACCAAAUCAGUAAGAAAGCAAGAGGAAGGAGUUGUUCACUUAAUUCUGACAACCGAGAGGCCCUGAGUCCUGGCCCUGUUGUCUCUGCUACCUCCCAAAGGCCGGUUACAAUGCUGCCUUCGAGUGGAUUAUCAGAUACAGGUGGUGUCAGUUUGGUGCGAUCAAAGGCUUCAACAUGGUGAGUGAAACUCCUAGUUUGUGAGAGAUCCCAGAUUCAAUACUUUGUCUCAUUCAAUCUCUGAGGAUUCACCUUCUGCCUGUUGUGACAGGAGAGAAAUGGAGAGUGGAGUACAGUAGGACAGACAUCUGCACUGGCUCAGGAGAAGUUCCGUCAGUCCCUACACAGGGAGAUGUUUUCAGAGAAGAACGAAGAGGCCAGGAGAGGGGAGAAACUGCUGGCUCUUGGCCCUCAGCUGGGAUUGCAAGCAAGUGUGAGCCAUGGGGACAAGAAUACAGGAUCCCCUAGAACCUCAAAGGAGCAGGAGCUGGAGCUCAGAGGAAGGAGAAAUACUAGGAAGAAGUGCUCAGGAGAUGCUCCCAAAGUGGUUUGCUCUGAAAGUUGCUUGGAGGUGGUGAUACUUGGUCAUUGGCAGGGGAAGGGAAAAAGCAUUUUCUGAGGGCUGAAGUUCAGAGGCCAAGCAGUGUCUGCUGGGGAGGGAUUUAUCCAGGCUGAUUCAGCUGCGUUUGUGCAGAGAAGUUCCCGGAGUGGGUAAAGCAUGUUGGGGCACUCAGCGACAUUAUCCUCUGGGCCGUGGGAUACCACUGGGGCCAGAGAGCUGGGCAGCUGAUAGCCUGUAUCACUGAUUAUCUGGCUCAUUUGGGGAAUCUGAGGACGGUGACUCCAUCAGCGAAUGAUGAAGGAGACAAGUUCUGGCCACAAGGGCCCGGGCAAUGUUUCUGGGAGCCCUUUGCAUUCCAUUAUAUUUCCUGUCACAAUCACCCUCGUCUCUGCCCUAGAAUGAGACUCAAAUUCUUUAAGUCCAGCUGCUUUGGACUCAACAAACUUCCCAUUGGGAAACAAUGCUUUUGAUUUUCAGUUUGACCACUAACCUUGAGCUAGGUAAUUUAUCUUGCUGAGCCUUGGAUUUCCCCCUGAACAUGGAAAUGAUAAUACCUCCUUUGCAAGUGUUAGGAUAAAUGCAAGAGUCCUGUGGAAUGUAAGGCACACAUUAGGUGCUCAACAAAUACCAGAUCCUUCUUAUUUGGUCCUUUCAAACCAGGACUAGUUUUUUUUUUACUUUAAUGGGUUCAGCAUAUCACUCAAAAUACUUCACUUAAAAACAAUCAAAGCUUACAUAAUCACCAGCCUAAGUGGUUGCAUUAGCCUGUUAUUCUGUCAUCUUUUUCCAAUAAACAAACUGUCUUCCUCUCUCUUUCCUUUCUGUGGACGGAUCUGGAGGAUUUGCAAUGUGCAAAGCAGGUGGAUUGAUCGGUUAUUGAUCGCGAGUGAAUUAUAACCCCUUCAGCUCCAGCUCCUAAAAGCCACCCUUGUUUCUUCUGCCCAUUGCCUGGGACACAGUGACAUGUGGUUGCUGAAUUGAGAGAAAUCUGAUUGAUUUGAGUUGAGCAAUUUUCCUCCACCAUGAUACUUCUGUCUUGGAGCCAGCUAAAACAGACUGAACUCUCUGAAACUGUGAGGCAAAAUAAAGCUCUCCUCCUUCAAGCUGUGGGUGUUGCGUACUUUGUCCCAAUGGGAAAGUGACUACUACAGUCUUCAGGGAUCCAAGUCGCUCAUGGGUAACAAUUACAGUGACUGAGGAUGGCAGCACAUAUGUGGUUGUGGGGGAAGCAGUAGAAGCCUACAAAUGGAACCAGGCCAGGGGAGAGGCCCAUAAGGAUGAUGAUCCCAGAGCUGCGUCCUGAAUGGAAAUUAGCUAGGUAAAAAUGGGAAGAGGGUUACUUUUUAGGGGAACAUCGCUGCGGUGUGAGAAGGAGAGAGACACUUAGGAGAUCCUCUGGCACCUCUGGGCGUAGUGGAUGGAGGUAAUGAAAGUGGAAAUGAGACAAGAACCAAAUGAAGAAAGUCUUGUAAGCCAUGCUAAGGAUAUUGGACUUUGUGUGUGAGUAACAAGAGAAAACUCCUUGAUGUGCUGUGGAGAUGAAAGGGACAGGGGAGAUGGGAGAGAGGGAGCCUAUUGAGGCCAGAAGUGAUGCUGCUCAUUUGAAAGAGAGGCAGAGGAGAGAUGAUAAAAGGUGACUGUACCUGACUGAUCAGGACAAAGGGGAGGGAAAGGCAGGAGAUAAAACUUUUAGCUUUCUGGCUUAGACGAUGGGGAAAGUGGUAACACCGUACAAAUUAGUCGCUCCAGGUGGAGAAACGCUGUGUGCCCACAGUAGACACCAAGCAAAUAUUUGUUCAAUGUAUGAACAUAUAUACAAAUAAGAGAUGAUAGCUCUUACCACAGCUAAUUUAGAAAUUCAAUGAAAUUCCAAUUAAAAAGUCCAUUAUAUGCACAUUGAGACGAUACUCUUAAGUGAAAUAAACAGGACACACAUGUGUAAAUACCUAACAGUUUCUCUAGUGUGAGAAACUGAAA